CUCACUCUUUCUCAGUCUUCGUUUUCAAGAAGACAGACUCCUGCCUUGCUCUCAAGCGCCUGAUACUGUUCUAACACCUUAGUUUUCGAUCGCUCAGGAGGCGAGGAAGAAACCCUAGAACUCGCAAAGCAGCUGCAUCAAUGGCGAAGCAGAUCCACGAGAUCAAGGAAUUUCUCUUCCUCCCAGUUUGACUGUUCAAGAUUGCAGAUUGAGUUCAGUUUAUCGGAGAAGGAAAUGGAAGACAAAGCUGCUGCUUUGCGUGAGAUGCAGGCCAAGGUCGAGAAAUCUUGGAAUUGAUGAACACCUUCAAUGCCAGGUUUGUCACAUAGUUCUUGAUCUAUUAUCUUUGUGACAUGUCCUACUUACCUUAAUAUGAAGAAACUAUUAUAAAAAUUUAAUUGUAUGCUACUG